rnacentral:misc_RNA from 1 species
UCGUAACAAGGUUUCCGUAGGUGAACCUGCGGAAGGAUCAUUACCGAGUGCGGGCCCUCGCGGCCCAACCUCCCACCCUUGUCUCUAUACACCUGUUGCUUUGGCGGGCCCACCGGGGCCACCUGGUCGCCGGGGGACGCACGUCUCCGGGCCCGCGCCCGCCGAAGCGCUCUGUGAACCCUGAUGAAGAUGGGCUGUCUGAGUACUGUGAAAAUUGUCAAAACUUUCAACAAUGGAUCUCUUGGUUCCGGCAUCGAUGAAGAACGCAGCGAAAUGCGAUAAGUAAUGUGAAUUGCAGAAUUCCGUGAAUCAUCGAAUCUUUGAACGCACAUUGCGCCCCCUGGCAUUCCGGGGGGCAUGCCUGUCCGAGCGUCAUUUCUGCCCUCAAGCACGGCUUGUGUGUUGGGUGUGGUCCCCCCGGGGACCUGCCCGAAAGGCAGCGGCGACGUCCGUCUGGUCCUCGAGCGUAUGGGGCUCUGUCACUCGCUCGGGAAGGACCUGCGGGGGUUGGUCACCACCAUGUUUUACCACGGUUGACCUCGGAUCAGGUAGGAGUUACCCGCUGAACCUAAGCAUAUCA